rnacentral:rRNA from 1 species
UAGGGAAUAUUGCAAAAUGGGCGAAAGCCCGAUGCAGCAACGCCGCGUGGGCGAUGAAGGCCUUCGGGUCGUAAAGCCCUUUUUGAGGGGAUGAGGAAGGACAGUACCCUCAGAAUAAGCCUCGGCUGACUACGUGCCAGCAGCCGCGGUAAAACGUAGGAGGCGAGCGUUAUCCGGAUUUACUGGGCGUAAAGCGCGUGCAGGCGGAUUGGAGAGUUGGAUGUGAAAGCUCCCGGCUUAACUGGGAGAGGUCGUUCAAUACUUCCAGUCUUGAGUGCAGUAGAGGGAAGUGGAAUUCCGGGUGUAGUGGUGAAAUGCGUAGAUAUCCGGAGGAACACCAGUGGCGAAAGCGGCUUCCUGGACUGUAACUGACGCUCAGACGCGAAAGCUAGGGUAGCAAACG